rnacentral:ncRNA from 1 species
CAACCUCAACUCAUAUGGGACUACCCCCUGAAUUUAAGCAUAUUAAUUAGGGGAGGAAAAGAAACUAACAAGGAUUUUCUUAGUAGCGGCGAGCGAAAAGAAAUCAGUUCAGCACUAAGUCACUUUGUCUAUAUGGCAAAUGUGAGAUGCAGUGUACGGAACAUCAACAUUCUAGUAUGAGAAGUUAACGAUUUAAAUCCUUCUUAAAUGAGGCCAUUUACCCAUAGAGGGUGCCAGGCCCGUAUAACGUUAAUGAUUACUAGAUGGUGUUUCCAAAGAGUCGUGUUGCUUGAUAGUGCAGCACUAAGUGGGUGGUAAACUCCAUCUAAAACUAAAUAUAACCAUGAGACCGAUAGUAAACAAGUACCGUGAGGGAAAGUUGAAAAGAACUCUGAAUAGAGAGUUAAAUAGUACGUGAAACUGCUUAGAGGUUAAGCCCGAUGAACCUGAAUAUCCGUUAUGGAAAAUUCAUCAUUAGAAUUGUAAUAUUUUAACAAUAUUAUAAUAAUAGUGCGCAUUUUUUCCAUAUAAGGACAUUGUAAUCUAUUAGCAUAAAUAUUUAUCAUAAAAUUAUGUCUGAUUGCUUAUUUGAAUUAUAUGCUUGGCAUUUUAACAUAAAAUAAAAGAUAUAAAUUUGAUAAAGUGCUGAUAGAUUCAUAUGAUUACAGUGCGUUAAUUUUUCGGAAUUAUAUAAUGGCAUAAUUAUCAUUGAUAUUUGUGUUUAUUAUAUGCAUUUGUAUGAUAACAAAUGCGAAAGAUUCAGGAUACCUUCGGAACCCGUCUGAAAACACGGACCCAGGGAGUCUAACAUAUGUCCAAGUUAUGGGGAUUUAACCUUAAUGGGGAAAUUACCUGGAUUAUUAAGGGGAUUAGUUUUUUAACUAUUUAUAGUAAAUAAACCCAUUCCCGGGGCGCUCUAAAUAGUUAUGUAUAAUAAUAUUUAUAUUAUUUAGCCCUCUAACGGGAACGUCCCUG